rnacentral:rRNA from 1 species
AUACAGAGGGUGCAAGCGUUAUUCGGAAUUACUGGGCGUAAAGCGCGCGUAGGCGGAUGAUUAAGUCAGUUGUGAAAGUCCUGGGCUCAACCUAGGAACUGCAUCUGAUACUGGUCGUCUAGAGUUUAAGAGAGGGAAGUGGAAUUCCAGGUGUAGCAGUGAAAUGCGUAGAUAUCUGGAGGAACAUCAGUGGCGAAGGCGACUUUCUGGCUUAAAACUGACGCUGAGGUGCGAAAGCGUGGGUAGCGAACGGGAUUAGAAACCCCAGUAGUCC